rnacentral:tRNA from 1 species
GUCCAGGAGCGGGAAUCGAACCCAAAACCUUCUGCCCACCGGGCAGGUGCCAUGUCCACUAGGCUAUCCUGGA